rnacentral:rRNA from 1 species
CUCUGAAUAACUUUGUGCUGAUCGCACGGUCUCGCACCGGCGACGCAUCUUUCAAAUGUCUGCCUUAUCAACUGUCGAUGGUAGGUUCUGCGCCUACCAUGGUUGUAACGGGUAACGGGGAAUCAGGGUUCGAUUCCGGAGAGGGAGCCUGAGAAACGGCUACCACAUCCAAGGAAGGCAGCAGGCGCGCAAAUUACCCACUCCCGGCACGGGGAGGUAGUGACGAAAAAUAACGAUACGGGACUCAUCCGAGGCCCCGUAAUCGGAAUGAGUACACUCUAAACCCUUUAACGAGGAUCAAUUGGAGGGCAAGUCUGGUGCCAGCAGCCGCGGUAAUUCCAGCUCCAAUAGCGUAUAUUAAAGUUGUUGCGGUUAAAAAGCUCGUAGUCGAAUGUGUGUCCCUCACCGCCGGUUCAUCGUACGCGGUGUUAACUGGCGUGUCGCGGGACGUCCUGCCGGUAGGCUUAGCUCGAAAGGGCGGUCUAACUCAAUCCCGCCGCGGUGCUCUUAAUUGAGUGUCGAGGUGGGCCGGCACGUUUACUUUGAACAAAUUAGAGUGCUUAAAGCAGGCUAAAACUUCGCCUGAAUACUGUGUGCAUGGAAUAAUAGAAUAGGACCUCGGUUCUAUUUUGUUGGUUUUCGGAACCCCGAGGUAAUGAUUAAUAGGAACGGAUGGGGGCAUUCGUAUUGCGACGUUAGAGGUGAAAUUCUUGGAUCGUCGCAAGACGAACAGAAGCGAAAGCAUUUGCCAAAAACGCUUUCAUUGAUCAAGAACGAAAGUUAGAGGUUCGAAGGCGAUCAGAUACCGCCCUAGUUCUAACCAUAAACGAUGCCAGCUAGCGAUCCGCCGACGUUCCUCCGAUGACUCGGCGGGCAGCUCCCGGGAAACCAAAGCUUUUGGGUUCCGGGGGAAGUAUGGUUGCAAAGCUGAAACUUAAAGGAAUUGACGGAAGGGCACCACCAGGAGUGGAGCCUGCGGCUUAAUUUGACCCAACACGGGAAACCUCACCAGGCCCGGACACCGGAAGGAUUGACAGAUUGAGAGCUC